CCAAGGGGAUGCCGGUACAGGAUUUUUCAGGGGCCCUUAGCCACGGCAGGUGCACUCACUUCCUUCAUCUGCUCUUGACUCAGCACCCGGACUGACUGGCCUUAUUCUCCUUGUGUUGGACCAGGGUGCUGCUCCGGGCAGAUGCCUUCUGGAAUCUCACCUGUGAAUUAGACCCCGAUUCCUAUUUAGACAAUAGCCUUACUUAUAUACCUAAAACACAAUAAUAUCCCCCAUUAUAUGAUCCACUUACCAGGAAGUCAUAUUUUUUUCUUUCAAGGUGGCCUGUCAACUCACGCAUGCCUCCAUCAGACUCAGUUGGCCUGCCUCAACUUUUCUUUGCCAUGGAGCCUCCUAGAAGCUUGCUGUCAUUCACUCUCAAAAUAUCUGGGGGCCCAGAUCACUAACUGCCCAAGGUUACAGAGGGACCUGUCGAGGUAAUGGGAGGCAAAGUGACUUGUGCGAUCGCUGCAUGCAUGGGUGGGUGCUAGAGCAGGACUGGUGCCCCCAGCCAGCUCACAAGUCAGUAUUUUUGUUGGGUUUGUCUGCCAUCCUUGUGCUCACCUGGAGCUCCCUUCUAGCCUGCCAGGCUCCUUCCAUCUGACCUCCUUUUAAAUCCUUCCUUAAUAAGAAAAAGAAUGAAACAGGAAGACUGGGCCUCCACUUUGUUUUAUAAUUGUUUGUCGUCUUAUUUUUAAAGAUCUUUGCUCUGGGCACUGCUACUGGAGCUGCACUUACUACAUUUAUAGUAUUUAUAACUAUUUAUACUAUUAUCUAUUAUUUAUAGUAUUUAUAACUAUUUAUACUAUUAUCCAUUUAUAACUAUUAUUACUUUAAAAUCUACAUGCAACGUAUGAGUGAGGAAGAGCCCAGAUCAUUAUCAAUAUUCUAACCCAUAGAAAAAUUAGUCAGGCACCGACCAGUUAUAAAUCCUCUACUCUAGGAAAUAUUUGUUGCUGGCAAAGAUGAUCCUGAUGUAAUGGAAGCAUUUAAUGUAGAAAAUGUUGUUCUAUUUCUCUUCUUGAUAGCACCAGACAACCAGGGCUCCAAGUGGGAGGAGGAGCUGCAGGGGAGGCUGCCCAAGGAAAGCAAUAUGUUUGCGAGGCUGAUCAAUAAGAAGAUUAACUUAACCUAGUAGAAGACUUAUCAAUCUUCUUAUUGAUCAGUUUAGCAAACAUAUUAGUGUGCUGGUGUAGCGUUGCAGGCCCGUCCAGACUGCGCUUCAUCAGGUCCACAGUAGAUGAGCUAUCCCUGGCGUUGGCCAUGGGACCUCUCGCUUAUGGUCUGUACAGCGAUAGAAAAGGUCACCUCUCUUCUUGUCCUGUGCAACGUUGUCCCCAGAGAAAGAGAUGGAUGGAGAAGCUGAAGUGGGAGAUGGAGGUGGCUGUUAUGAGCUGGAAUCAAAGUCAAUCAACAAGCUCUUGUUUAGAAAGGAAUCCUG
rnacentral:lncRNA from 12 species